rnacentral:lncRNA from 1 species
UGUUUUUUGAACUUUUUCUUCAAUCGAAUUUUUGAAUUUUCAUCGUGAAUAGUGUCACCGCUAGAUGGUGGAUAGCUCGAGUGGCAUUUCGGGGGGCACGGAAGUUUCGUCUGCUUGGGAAUUCAAUAAAAAAACAUGUGAGGCAACAACAGGCAAGCGAGUUAAUUUUUAAUUUUUUUAAUUUUACUUUUCUGAGAAAGUCGUGAAUAGAAAAAUAGGCUUUGAAACAGAAUCUAUUGCCGAUUGACUGUCAAUAUGGACCUUAAUUUUCAGAUAAAUAGUGUCAAGGACAGAAUGAGAAACAAAGCACCACAGGAGAUUGCACUUGAAGUAAAGGAAAUUUGAGAAUGACGAUGAUUCUAAAACUGGGCAACUUUUUUAGGCUUCCAACUUUUUUGAAUGUGAUUUCAAGUUUUUGACCUUGAACACAUUCAGUGGGGAAAAUUGGCUGAAUUCAACCUCAACAAAGAAGUAUUGGAAGUAGUUGCCCAGGAAAAAGUUGAACUCUAGUUUCUAUCAAUAAGUUGGACUCCCCUGAAAUUCAUGUUGCCAAGCAGAAGGGAUCAUGAGGAGGUUGUUUUGACUCCACACAAUUCUGGAACCUGAUAUGAGAAGUUCCGUUUACAGAGGCAAUAGCAGAAACCAAAUUCACUGAAAAUGGAAAUCCAAUCAAACUGUAACCAAAACAUUGAAAUUCCGCCACGUUAUCGCUCUUUUCGCCUUCUAGAAGAUGAAGACAAUUCUGUUACAGACACUGAUCGAGUCCGUCGCAACGGCAGCGAAUCGUUGGAGCGACAGGCGAGUAUCAUUCGUUCCCCUUGGGGCGUAGAGCAGCGAUUGAGGUUAACAAACGAAAUUAGAACAACAGUUUUUCGCCUAAUUAUUCUGAUAGGCUGUUGUGGCGAGAGUAUUUCUCUCUGGUGGUUAAUGUGCAGCUAAACAAAAUGGGUGACGUUGGCGGAAGCAGCCCUCAACAUUUUAGUGCAGAUUUGAUCACAGUCCUAUCUUUCUGUGCAUGCUGGUAUUGCAAUGUCAUCAUCAGCAGUUCAGCUUCUUUACUAUUUUGGGUGUUGAUGUUUGUGACUUGCAAAUGGUGAAUUCUAGUGAACUGACUCCCUGGACAUCAAAAUAGGGAAAAUCGGCAUGGGAUAUAUGGAAGGCUGCAGCAGUAGGAUCCAUCCUGGUUGUGGACUGCAAGAUGACGUGAACGGUUCAAACGUUAUUUUCGGGCAGGAUGCAGACAUGGGCCGGCUUUCCUCCUUUCCAGAUCAAGAAUCCAAUCGAUAGUUUAGAUGAGUGAAUUCCAGGUCAGCCAAUGAGGCGUCACUACUUUCGAUAUCAGUACAUCACCGCACAAUUCCGGUGAAACGAGUGUACAUUGAAGCCUACGUAUUUCAUUUUUAAAUACGUCGACACUUUAUUUUUCGGCAGUUGCCAACGAGAAAUCCUCACCGGAAGCCGCUGACAAUAGGAUCAUAGCCUAAAUGUAAGCUGAUGUGGACGGAUUCGAAUUGUGCUAUUCAUUCAAUAUCUACUCGAAAGGAAAUAACAUGCGUCUUAAUAUACUCAGAAUUUCAAAGUCGGAUGGCUCGGAUGAUGUUGCGCUGUCUGAAAGCAAUCCAUCAGUCCAUCAGUCCAUCAGUCGUUCGUUAUUGCAAAGGAAUCCAUCGACUGCCACUAGGUGGCUACAACUGUGUUCACCAGAUGGCGGCCAUUACCAUUCUGACGGACGAAUUAUCCGCCAUUGCUGGGAGAGUCCGUCCGAGACGCUGAGCAAAAAUGUGCUGCCAGUUGCUACAUAAAUGGUGUUCCACGACAUUUUCACAAUGAAAAAUGAUGAGAUAUCUAAUCAUCCAUCUAUCAGCCUGUUGACUGUUUCUAUUUAAUGGGCACUCCAUUGUCAAACAAUUGUUUGUCUAUCGCCUACUUCCUUUUUUUUUUCAUUCACCGAAGGAACAAGUCAAAUGACUCCAAUGUCAAUUGGUAUAAAACCCAUCCAGAGCAUCGUCAACCUGCAGAGGGAAAGGCAUGUCCUUGACUUGAAGAUCACGGAGAUCAUUAUGUAAAACGUGUCUUGUGGUGUAGAGGUUGGGUGAGAAUGGGGAAGUGUUGCAUCAUUAUCAUAGUGUUGCAUAUAUCAAGCAGCCGCAAGGCUUAAGAGGUGAAUAAGGAUGGGGAAAAAUCGUAUAAAAGGCGAAAGAAAUCAGUCGAGUGAGCAUCUGCGACACGUCAACAACUGCAGCGCGCAAGUUGUCACAAACUGCCUUCUUUAUCAUGUUACCAGUUCGCAAUCAAAAUGGUGUACCUGUACUGUGCCCCUGGCAAGACAUAGGUAAAGGGGCCUGAAAUUGCCAUUUUCUCCCCUUCAUAAAACAUCAACGACUUCAGUGAGCCUCUCCGACACGGCAACGACUGCUGCAGCUUUCAAAAUUUUCACCAACUGCCUUCUUCAGCAUUUUAAAUCAAUUAGCAAUCAUGGUUAAUUAUGGCGUUGUGCUGCUGUUGGGUGUUGUAUCGUUGAUUUCUGGGUCGACUACGAGUGUACCGAUGCCUCCUGGAUACGGAGGCCCCGAGUUACUUCACCAAAGCGUCUGAGUACUACACUGAGGCUCCCAAGUACUACACCACCACAUCUCUAGACUACUUCACCGAGAUUCCAGUUUAUUACACCACUUAGCUAUCGAAUACCACAACGAAGUGCCAAAGUACUACAUUGCAAUCUACGCUGCCCCAGCUUACACCACCAAGGGACCGGAGUACUGCACCACCAAGGGACUGGAGUACUAAACCACAACCUACGCUGCCCCAGCUGACUACACCGCCAUGAGCAACACAGUCACAUCUGAGGCAGCCAAGUAUUACUGCACAGCGGCCGCCUCUUAGUACUAAACUGAACCGGAAUACUGCACUGAUGCUCCAGUUUACUACACCACAACCUACGUUACACCAAGAUGCUACACCGAAGCUUCCAAGUACUGCACCAGCACGGCCGAAUAUUACACCACCACGUUGCUGCCCUAGUCUACUAUACCGAGGAACCCAAGUAUUACUCUGCUCCAAGCAACUACCGAACAGAGGCUCCUGUUGACUACACCACCCAUGCCCCGGGGUUUUACACGCUGCCCCCAUCUACACCCCCAAGGCUCCAAAGUACAACACCACUAAGGCAGUCGAGUACUAUACCACUACUUACGCUGCUCCCACCUACUACUUGAAAAUUUCUGGAGAUAAAUUAUAAGUCACUUGCCUAAUACUUGUGAAAAACUUAAGUUGUGAGAAAAAUAUAUAACUACUAAACAUUA